ensembl:lncRNA
ACGUUAAAACUUUAGAAUCAGGUGGGAGGUGGUGGUAGUCACAGAACAAAUGGUCAAAACAAAGAUCUUACAAGGUUAGAAGCAUAGGACUUUAUGUUAGGCCAUAUUCACCCCAAUCCUGGGCAUGUGUAGUUUGCUAUUUGGUUUUCCUGGCAAGCCUGAGAAGGUGGUGGUUAUACAUAUACAGUUCCGAGUCUCCAGGUCACACCUAUACCUCUAAGAGGAGCUGUUUAUUUCCCCAUCCCAGUGAACUGGUAACUCAAGUUGGAAACUGUGUCUCAUUCACAAUUACAGAUGACUUAAUAAUAACAACACGUAAAUCCCUAGAAAUAAGACUUCGAAGGAGGAUCAUCACUAUUAUUUACUCUACGCCUGCCCAAGACCUCCCUCAGUUCCUUGUCUGCAGGCCUAAACAUCUGAGCAGAGAAAAUAAAAGCAAAGAGUUCCCUAAAAUGCCACCAUACAGAAGGUUCAGUAUGACGAAAAUCACUCUCUUCCUGUCUCUGAAUGUGACUCCGUGA